UUUUUUUUGCUGGUGAUCCGUGGGAUAAAGCAUUUUAAUCGGCUCAGUAACAAUAACCCCGAUCCGGUGAAUGUCGUGACUGGUGAGCGUUUUGUCUUGUCAUUGAGGUCCCUUGACGGAUGAAUGAAAUUUUCGUUACCAUUCGGAUGGGCAAUUUCAUAUAAACUUCCAUCUAAAAAUUGUUUAACCGGCCACACUGACGCAGGAAAUUAAUAAAGAUUGCUGACACUCCAUUCAAGGCUCCAAUUAAAUUGAUUAUUUCCUG